rnacentral:lncRNA from 1 species
GAAGGAAUGAAUGAAAGAAGGAACGCAUGCAUGCUUCCUGUGCUGUGACAGCAGAUGAGCAAUGGAAAAGAGAGACCGCAGCCCAGGUGUGCCAGGCGAACACAUUAUCUCCAGCUCAGCUCAUGUCAUAGCAAGUUCAUAAACUUCUCAGGCUUUCAGCCGUAUUGGCACUGGGAAGGAGACGAGGAGGAUAUGAUGUUAAGGGACCUCCACGCCCAGCAGGAAAGGGGAGGAAAAGCAUUUAAGGGCAUGGCAAACAUCUGUCUACCAAACAUUUGCUUUUCCAUCUCCUUGUGAAUUACCUUCCUCCCCUUUGAAGUCCCAAACCACUACUCCCAACGUCCUCUUUCGUCUUUAGCUGAAGAUGAUAUUUGAGGUGGUGGCUUCAGCCAUUUUGUCAAAUUACUCAGUUUUCCUGGGUUCCUCCCAUGUAUACAUGUUAUUAAACUUGUUUGAUUUCUUCUGUUAUUCUGUCUUAUGUCAAUUUAAUUCUUAGACCAGCCAGAAGAACCUAGAACGGUAGAGGAGAAUUUCUUCCUCCCCAACAACUCCAAGGGAAGAAAUUGUCUCUCUCCUUUCACUUGUAAAAAUGGACCAAGACUCAGAGCCAAGGUGAUUACAAUUUAAUAAGGAAGACACAAC